rnacentral:rRNA from 1 species
AUUGAACGCUGGCGGCAGGCCUAACACAUGCAAGUCGAGCGAGCGGCGGACGGGUGAGUAAUGUCUGGGAAACUGCCUGAUGGAGGGGGAUAUCUACUGGAAACGGUAGCUAAUACCGCAUACCAUCAGAUGUGCCCAGAUGGGAUUAGCUAGUAGGUGGGGUAACGGCUCACCUAGGCGACGAUCCCUAGCUGGUCUGCGAGGAUGACCAGCCACCCUGGAACUGGAACACGGUCAAGACUCCUACGGGGGCCAGCAGUGGGGAAAGUUGCACAAGGGGCGCAAGCCUGAUGCAGCCAUGCCGCGUGUGUGAAGAAGGCGUUCGGGUUGUAAAGCACUUUCAGCGGGGAGGCGUUACCCGCAGAGGAAGCACCGGCUAACUCCGUGCCAGCAGCCGCGGUAAUAC